CGGGGCGUAGCGCAGAGGCAAGCGCGCGUGGUUUGGGACCACGAGAUCCCCGGUUCAAAUCCGGGCGCCCCGA
rnacentral:tRNA from 1 species